AAAAAAUGGGACAUGCAUCUGGUGUUCUCACUCAGUCUCAUGGGUCUCGUCAACGUCCAAUAGGGUAUUACUCCUGUCAGUUGGAUCCUGUGGCCAGGGGAGGACCCUCCUGUCUUCGGGCUGUAUUUGCAGCAAGUGCUCUACUGGACAAGACGUGUGACAUAAUCCUUGGUCACAAGCUAACCAUUCUCGCCCCCCAUGAUCUUUCUGCAAUAUUGAAUCAAGUUCAACCUAAACAUCUCUCUACUCAAAGGCAUCUUCGUCUCCAAACAACUUUAAUGUUACCCGAUAAUGUCUCCUUACAGCGAUGUUACACUUUGAAUCCUGCCACUCUUCUGCCGCUUCCCAAGGGGGGAGUACCACACUAUUGGUACGGUCUGAACAUAGAUCCUGAUGCCUUCCUUGAUCUGAAUGUCCAUAUGCCCACAGUACCACACGAUGAACAGCCAUCUCCUCUAUGGCAUUGUACUUUGUGGUUCAGAGACGUUCCGGGGCCUGACCCUCAGUAUGAAGAAGAACUGUUUCAAUUGAUUGAAGUACGCCUCACCUUGACAGACAUAUACUGUGAUACAAAAGGUAACACUGUAGUGUUAGUUCAAUUACCCACAGAAGUGACUCAUAUGUACCACCAUUGGGAGAUGGCAGUUCCUCAUGUCUCUAUUACUAAAUCUCCAAAUAUCUCAUGGAAGGAACUUGGUCCAUUAGCCAAAGCAUGGAGUGCAACAGAUCAAGACCAACUCUCUACAGAAGGUGUUACCAAACGAACUGUGAAUUGUAAGACUACUGGUUAC